GGGUGACCAGGAAUAACCUGGGGCUACUCCGGGUUGGAGGCUGGUGAGAGGGGCGGGGCCGGAGUGGGCACGGCGCAGAGUGACGGUUAUUCCCGCCCCGGGCUCUGUUGCCCCGGCGCGCUGUGGCGCGUGGGCUGCUUGAGGCAGCGCGGGCUGGAGGACGAGGGCGGAUGCCUCGGCGCCUCUCGCGCAACCUGAGGCAGCCGCGAGCCGCUGCGGCGCCGAGGGGGGAUUCUGCCCAGUGCGCGUGCUCGCCCAGCGGCCACCCCUCUCUUGGGUCCCAUAUGUGUAUUUUACACUGUCCCUGGCGGAGAAGGGGAGAAUUUUAAAUUCUCCAUCCCCAACUUUCCAACCAUCACACACAAUCCUGCCCGGGAGGACAGAAGCAGCGGCCAGGUGUUGGUGAUUCCAGACUCAGACAGUUAGGGGUUCAGUUCUGAGGAAGCAGAGACGCGAGGGGCUUAUUGGAUUGAAUCUAUUUUUUUGCGCAGGCUGCCACAGCUCUACAUCAAUAUCUUCACUUCUCUUCCCCACCCUCCUCUCCCCCGAGGGGGGGAGGAGCUGGGAAUCACUUUUAAUAUCCCCCACCCCCUUCCCCAACAUACCUUGGUCCCUGGGGGCACAAGCCAGGCAUCACCCAUUGUAGUACCAGGAGAACAUAAUCCUCAUCGCUCCUUUCCUGGCUUUGGGGGCUCCAGCAGGACACUGCUCCCUCCCUUGGAGUGCAGAUCAGAGAGGCCCUGCGAGGACUUCAUUAGCACCCUCUUCUCAGGGGGCACCAAGGAAAGAAGGGUACCAGCAAGCCUUCACUGAGAGAGCCAGGACUGAAGCACCAGUUACUGGGGGUACUGAAAGAAGCACCCAUCUUUGACAACCCUUCAUCUCCUACCCCCUACUCACCAAACCUCUGAGUUCCAUUAAAAGGAGAUCCCGGAGGUUGCAAGACUAGUAAAACAAGAUGUGCAGCUCAGUUGCUCCCAGGCUGUGGUUCUUAACAGAUCGUCGUAUCAGGGAAGACUACCCUCAACAGGAGAUCCUGAGGGCGCUCAAGGCCAAGUGCUGUGAAGAGGAACUAGACUUUCGGGCCUUGGUGAUGGAUGAAGUGGUACUGACCAUUGAGCAUGGAAACUUGGGUCUCCGGGUGAAUGGGGAGCUCAUUACUGCCUAUCCACAGGUGGUGGUUGUACGUGUGCCAACACCCUGGGUCCAGAGCGACAGUGACAUCACGGUCCUUCGCCACUUGGAGAAGAUGGGCUGCCGGUUGAUGAAUCGGCCCCAAGCCAUCCUCAACUGCGUCAACAAGUUCUGGACCUUCCAGGAGCUGGCUGGUCAUGGUGUGCCUCUCCCAGACACCUUCUCCUAUGGUGGUCAUGAGAACUUUGCCAAAAUGAUUGAUGAAGCGGAGGUGCUGGAGUUUCCCAUGGUGGUGAAGAACACACGGGGUCACCGAGGCAAAGCUGUAUUCCUGGCACGAGAUAAGCACCAUUUGGCAGACCUGAGCCAUUUAAUUCGUCAUGAGGCCCCUUACCUGUUCCAGAAAUAUGUCAAGGAGUCCCAUGGCAAGGAUGUUCGUGUCAUCGUGGUAGGCGGCCGCGUGGUGGGGACCAUGCUGCGCUGCUCAACAGAUGGGAGGAUGCAGAGCAACUGCUCACUUGGCGGUGUAGGGAUGAUGUGCUCACUGAGUGAACAAGGCAAGCAGCUGGCAGUCCAGGUGUCAAACAUCCUGGGGAUGGACGUGUGUGGCAUCGACCUACUGAUGAAAGAUGAUGGCUCGUUCUACGUCUGUGAGGCCAAUGCAAAUGUAGGUUUCAUUGCCUUUGACAAGGCUUGUAAUCUAGAUGUAGCUGGUAUCAUAGCGGACUAUGCCGCUUCUCUCCUUCCCCCCGGUCGCUUGACGCGGCGUAUGUCCUUGCUCUCUGUGGUGUCCACGGCCAGCGAGACUAGCGAGCCAGAGCUGGGCCCUCCAGCUAGUGCCGCUGUCGACAAUAUGAGUGCUAGCUCCAGCUCUGUCGACAGCGACCCUGAGACCACGGAGAGAGAGUUGCUCACCAAGCUCCCGGGGGCUUUAUUCAACAUGAACCAGCUAUUAGCCAAUGAGAUCAAACUCCUUGUGGAAUGAUGCCACGUGUAAAUACAUGACCAACAAAACUCUUGUAAAUUUUUUUAAACCAACUUGCAAUGCUGUUUAUCAGAGAAGCUCAGGGAGGUGAAUGGAGUGGGGAGGGAAUUAGUCAAAAGAGUGAGAUUAAAAGGUGCAUAUUCUCUGAUUGCUGCUCUUACUUUUUAAUCCUCCAGAACAUAUGAUUGGUUUCAUUUUUUGGCAGCCAAUCUCUAGUCAGUGAUACCCAGUUCAAACCCACAUGGGGAUUUUAUUUAUGUGCAGCUGUGGUCCCAAGCUUAUCACAGAACUUGUGUAUUGAUGGGGAAAUAUUACAGCGCAAUUCACACUUCUGGUUUUGGAAUGCUAUCUUGCAAUUCUCCAAAAGCAUUUGUGAACUAAUGCAGCUGUGAACUCUCUCCUGCCUCUUUAAGAGCUUGAUCUUGUGAAUUGCUUGAGUGCCUUUAGUUUCCAAGAGAGCUGAGGGUGCUUAAGGUCUGAUAUUUCAAAGGUGCUGAGCAGCUGCAGUUCCCAUUUACGUAAGUGGGAGCUGUGAAAGUUCAGCAUCUCUUAAAAUCAGCCCAUUGUGACCUUGCAGGAUCUGGCCUUAAGUGAUGGGGCAGGGACAGGAAACUUGAGCUUUCAGUACAAACCUGCGACUUCUGCCAUCUCAGUAUUAACUGGCAUGUGUCCACAAAAAUGUGUCCAUAUUUGUUUAUAAAGCUUUUGAGGGAGGGAUGUUUUUUAAAUUUGUGUUUUUUAUCAUUUUAAAUCCUGGGGCAGGUGUGUAGAGGAAUCAGUCAUGUUCUCAUUCAUGGCAGAAGUGGCACGUUUUAACUAUUUUUGCACGAUUGGAGGAGAUAAACAGCAUUGUAAUGUUCGGUGUACAAAAUAAUGUUUAAUCCAAUGUGAAAAAGAAUUACACUAGUUUAAAACAAAUGUGCAUUGACUUGUAUUUGUUAGUGUUUUAGUCUUUUUGAGAGAGAGAUGCUAUGUUAAUGUUCCAUUUUUUUAAUACAUGCUAGUCCAACACACCCUUCUCUAUGCCUGCAUCUUUAACAGUGGCCAAAGUGAGAACACCACAAACUAUUUAACAAAACACUGACUUGAAGCCUGUAAAUCAUUGUUUUAUUUUUGUCAUUUUUUUCCUGGGAAACGUGGUAGGGUGUGGAGGAGGGAAAAGGUUGGUUGAAACCUCAGACAUUUAGGAUAAAGCUGAAGUUGGUUCGUUACCACUAUUACUAGGCUUGUAUUUUCCACAUUGAAAAUGUCUCAACUCUGAUGUCAGCUGAGCUCCAAAACAUGGAUCCAGGGGAAAAAUACACAGUUCUUGGCUUUGGGAAACUAUGCAGCAGAUUUAAAAAAAAAAAAAAAAAAAGGGCUCAGCUAGAAUAAAAAUAUAAAAGGCCACAAGCAAUGAAUAGAUGGAUCCUGGACCCUGUGUAUGUGUGUGUGCUUUGCUUUAUUUCUUUUUGGUUUGGGGCUGUUCAGUUUCUUUUUUUCAGGCUGACUGAUUUUCUUUCCUCAGUCCUUCUGGCUGUGCAUUUUCUCAUUCAAUUUGAGCAGUUUUGGGAAACAAAGAACCAAAACAGCAGUGUUGGGUCCAUUUUGAAGUCCCCAUCUUCCUCCUCCUCACCUCCUGCUUGUUCCUUCCCUCCUUCUGGGUUCAUAAAGCACUGGAACUAUAGAUAUAGAUAUAUAUAGAUAGAUAUAUAUAUAUGCGUCUCUUUUUAGGGGAAAAAAGGUAAAACGUUUGUGACUGAAAGAUGGUUUUGUGAAAAGAGGGUUUGGAGGGGUGUUUGUGUGUGUGCAAUGCUGCUGUUAUCUGGAUACUUUAAAGGAGCAUGUCCCAUGUAUCCGCUGAGGCUCUGCGCUUCCUACCCCUGUGGCCCCUCCUCACCUCUCCGCUGCUCUGCUGCUUUACCGUCGCUCGCUCGGAUCUUAAACAAACACAACUCAUGGACACUACGGAGAGAGACUUCAAGAGGCAAUAAACAGAACAGUAUUAACCUGCUUUCAUGGAGGUUUGAUCAUGCUUAUUUGUACAGUUUUUUUAAUUUUAAAAAGGAAUGUAAUAAAAUGAGGGGUUUUUGUAGAAUUAAAUAUUAUUAUUAAAAACAAGUGGAAGGUUGAUUGUUGAUGUUAGCUGAUGGAGUGAUCCAGAUGAUCCAGCAACAAAAGACGUUUCAACAGUCAAGGUCAUCUCUGAGGUUUUAUUCCUGAACCUUCAAGUGCACAGAUUAUAACAAAAGAAAACAAAGGUUUUCCCUUGUAUAAAAAAUCAGUACACCCCAGUACAGGUUACAUCCAACCCAACUUUCUAAUUACUGGGUGGGAAAGCUCUGCCUCCUUACAGGCUCUUCUCCCCUCAUCUGCUUACUAAGGAGCUGUUUUUUAAAUAGUGUUCUGUAUUCCCUUUGAGACCCUGAUUGAGCCUGCAGUUUCCAGCCCUACUUUAAUAUACACACUGUGAGCACCUGUGGGGGAUAUAAGUGAGGGAGGGUGGACAAGUCAGCUCCAUGCCAGCUGGAAGUAAUCAGCUAGGGCCUCUGCACUACUGUCACAGUUUGCAAAGAUAACUUAUUGGAAAGGCUGCUAACAGCUGUAUGAUCUGAGCUGUCUUGAGUCCCCACAUUGCUUGAGGGAAAGAGGCUGUGGCUGCAGGGACUUCUUAAUGCAUCUCGCCUUUAGAAUUUCCUACUCUCACUUCAGAGUAAUACAGAUUUGUGAAGUGGUACACAUACUUUUAUUCUGAAACACACAAGCAAAUGGACAGAAGGGUAUUAUGUUGUGGCUGGCUCCCUUGUGAUGAGAUCCUUUUGUGCGAUUGGUGCUUCUUUUACAAGAUUGGAGAAAAGUCUAUGGGUAGUGCUUGUUAUGGGGGAGGAUCAGGAGUUAAAACUUUACACACAUUCAUGUAGACAGUAAUUCUUGAUAAUGCUUACGGAAAGCCUUGCUGAGGAUUCAAAGCUUUGUCUAUUUGAAUCAAUCUUAUAGGUUCCUCCCUGCAACCUACCCAUUGUCCCGUGGUCAGUGAGAUGUAUAUAGUGGAGAAGAAAAAAUGGGUUUCACAUGUAUGCCUGUAAUACAACUAAAAAAAUCAAGCCUGUGCUAACCAAGAGAUGUCUCUCAUCACAUCUAAACACUAUACAGCUCAGCACUAUGUGCUAUGCUCUCUUCAGUUCCACAUCCUAAAGAACGCUUUCCAUAUUCUAGUGCCUUAAUAGAGCUAACAUUACCUGUCAUAUUCUGGUUUGGAAGCUUAUAUUGGAAAGGACACGUAAUCAAGAUACACCUGAGGAUUUUUAAAAAAAGGGCUGAUACAGAUAAUGGUGAUGCAUGAGUUGUUAAUAUAUCUAUAUUUUUUUUAAGGGAGGGGAGAGAAACUUGAGCGAGCCAAGCAGAAACUUUUGUUUGCAGAAAUAAGUUUUCUUAAUUUAAACCUGAUGGAAUUUGUCAUCUUGUUUGUAACAGUGAUUUGGGGGGGGGCGGGGUUGUGAAUUUUUCUGCUGUGUGAUUUGGUUACAUGUUUACAAUUCUUUGUUUACCAUGUUUAAUUCUAAAUUGUCUGUAUGGCUUUGUAUAUUAAGUAUUUUUUUUUAAUUUUUUGAUGUGUUUUAUAAAAUCACCCCUCUCUGGAAUGCUACAAUGCCUCAUCUGUAACACGUGAUGGAAGAGUGACGCUCUGUAUACACAUGGACUAUUUAUUUUUUUGGUGUUCCACCCCCUCCGAGCUAUGUGGUCAUGCUCUGAUGGCUUUUCCCCUCCUGCUUCACAUUUGCAGUCUUUCAUGUGUGAUAUCUGCCCAGGAAACGCCUCUGGAACUACUGUUUAUGUUGGCCAAAAAAAAAAAAAGAGGACAUUUCUUCAAAUGUUGCACUGGACUUUUAAAUCCCACAUGUGAUAUCAAUAACUCUUUCUAAAUCUCCUCUCUUCUUCCUCAAAUGCAAAAAGCCCUAGUUGGUUAAAUAUGUAAGGGGCCUCACGGGCUUAGAGAGACUUUGUGAAAGCAACCCGUGUGUACAAUAUCUUUCUCAUGGCUCGCUCUUUUUGAGAAGGUUUAUGGGCUUUAUGGCUGGUGUGAGACACACGACCCACUCCUGUUCUCUCUAUGGAAUUGUAGGUGCUCAGACAGGAGCCAAAAAAGUCAAACAAUCCAGAGAAAAACUUCCCUUCUCCCCUUUCUGAUGGCAAGAGUGAGAGCUUAUGAAAAGUCCUUGAGAAUGUUCCUUCCUAAACUUUUCUCCCCAGUAAUGCAAGCUGGUAAAACAGUAAACGCAGCAGUUUGGUGGCAUCCAAAACCGACCUGUUGGCAGGUAAAUUCACUCUUUCCGUUCUUUUUCUUUUCUUUUUCUUUUUUAACCCUCACGUGUUUGCCUUUCUUCCUUCCCAUUUUCCACCAUCCACCCACUAGUUUGAUGAAGCUUCUCAAAGGAUGUCCUCAGUAAUGAGGCUUAGAGAGCAAAUCCUACUUUCCUUCUUUUCCCCACCCCAACUUGUACAAGAUAGAUUUUAAGAAAUUUUUCAGGGUUUCUCCCUUAAUGUGCUCAAGUGAGCCACUGUGAGGGUGGGUUAAAUACCACUGCUGUGGCAGAAUGAUUGGAGGAAUGAUGUCUAACUGCACAAAUUUGACCAUCCUCUGUGUAUCUCUCUACUUUUUCCUUCCAAUAUGCUAUUCUGGCUUAAGUUUUCACAGGGUUAUGGUGCUUCCCAGGUGCACGGUGAGCACAAAGUUUAACAGCAUCAAUUAGGAGUUGAAAGGUAUGGAAAACUAGUAUUAAAAAGGUUGGAUUAGGGUUAAAAUUUUGCAGAUAUGGGGGACAUGGCAAAUGGGAGAAUACCUCUGCUAAAUAGAACCACAUCUGGGCUGACUGUAUCUGUUUUGGGCAUUUUUAAUGAUCCCCCUAACUAUAAUAUCCAAGGAUCAAUAAAUAAUUUGCCCUUCUGUGGUACGUCACAUCCACUGAUCUCAAUGCACCUUGCAGAUGUUGACAGUGUAGCCUCCCAAAUCCCUUGUGGGGUAGGAGAUUCCGUGUUCUACAGGUGUAAGCAAAGAGGUGAAGUGGGUAUCAGAGGGAGUUUCUAAGCAGGGCGAGUAUGACACUUCAGGCUGGCUUACAAGUGCUCCCUCGUAUAAUUUAUUUCUAGGUACUCUUGCCCUUCUUUUGAAGACCUUUUGUAUAUGUGAAUAACUCUGAUCUUUGUAGGCAUUAAAAAAAUUCUACUUGUGACCAUCUCAAUUUGUUUCCUCUGUGCUCUAGAAAAGAACGGUGCUGGUGUAUUCAGCUUGCGUGAGCAGCAAUACUUAGAACAAAAUGUGGGGGGGGGGGGAGGGAGGGAAGUAAUUUUAGAUGGAGCCAAAUUUUGCUCUGUUAUGCUAAUCUGAAGUAUCAGUGAAAUGACCAGAUUUUCACUGGUAUAACAGAGUAUAGAAUUUGUGCCUUUAAUUUCACAUGCAAGAUAAUUGUACAGACCUGUUAUACUCACAUUUCCAAUGCUUUUUCCUUUCAGACACGCCCACUUCUCUCGUCUCACCACUGGGCAGGCCUUUUCCUUUAUUUGUGUAUAUUUUUGUGAAUCAGCUGCUGUAAGACACAGUAGGCUUUCAGGCAUGUGGCUGGGUGUCUUCUGAUUUGGGGAAAGAUCUGCAGAUUUGUAAUACUCUUUAAAGAUAGGUCUGAAACCUCCUCCUACCCCCAUCACCCUUAAGUUAACCAGAUCUGAACUUGCCUCUAGACUUUGCAGCUCAGACCCACAGUUAACAUAUUUCUUCAAAGUUUUCUUGGUGGUAGAAAACAUUAAGCCCUAUAGUGUUUAUAAACAGUCUUUGGUGGGAAGCAUAGAAAAGAAAAGCUGUUUCAGUCCACUGAAGCUGAUGUCUCAAUCCUCUACUCUCCCUCCCCUCCCUUGUUGCUGGAAUGGCUUUCAAAGCCUGAUACUAAUCUUGCUUGUGUCCAGUACUUUGCAAAGGGUGUUGGGUGAAGGGAGGAUGUUGGAGAAACUUGAAUAAGUCUUGGCAACUUAGACAAAGGGAUCCCUAUUGUGUAAUUAUGUGAGUGCUGAACAAGAACUUCUUCUAUAUGCCCUUCUGCUGCAACAGAAUAAUAAAACUGGUAGGUGGCAGUAGCAGAAGAAGGAACUAAUGUGGCUGGGACCUGCGAAACCUACAAUUCAAGGAGAGAUGGAUUGCAAAAUGUUAACUGAAGUAAGGGGGACAGAGGAGAGAGGCAGAGUGCUUGAACUGUCACUUUGAAUGGUGAGUGUGGUUUUACUCAAUUCUUACCCAUCAUAGGAAUUGUCAUAGUAGAAUGGACACCUUGGCCCUUCUCGACUAGUGUCGUCUGACAUUCAGCAUCCCACUUCCAGCUGCCUCUGACAUGGGCUAACACUUAGAUAUCUCAGAGGGAGACAUAAGCCCCCAUAAUACUACUUGUUGUCAAAUGUGGAGAAAAUUUCUUCCUGACCCCCAGCCAAUGAUCAGCCCUGAAGCCACAAGACUCAUAGCCAAUAUGCUUAGCUACUCUGUGUGCUAUUCACUUUAUAUAUAUUCCUUUCUGGAAUCUUUCUGUGUAUUAAUCUAUAAUAAUAAACGCCACUUGAUAAAUAUAUUUAGCAUUUCCUCCCCCAAGAUACUUUCCUGUGUACGUUAAAAUCAGUCACCUCUUUAAUCUCAAGUGCUCUCAUCGUAGUAUUCUGACAGAUUUUCAUCCAUUUACUGUAUGUGGGGAGCAUUAACUACAUAUUGUGUAGCAUGCAACCAGCUGUAUAUCUUAGUUUUAUUGUCCAAGUCAGUGCCACCUGGGAUGCCACAGUUGUCACUUUGCUGCACACCAUGGCCACUCAAAAUUUCACAGCAACAGCAGAGAUCCUCCUUCAGUAAAUGCACAGGGCUCAGCUGCUUGAACUGAAGGACAUGCCAUUAGCAGGAUAGAGGUUGACACAGUUAAGUCAUUCUGAUUCCAGCCAGUAGAGAGCAGUGGUGAGUGUACUAGUCAGUUAAGCACAUUAUUUCCUUAGAAAAAAACAUUUUUCAAAAUCUUAAUGUGAGUAGACAUAUUUUCCAUGAUACUUUAUUAUUAAUAAUAAUAAUAAAUAAGAAGAAGCAGUUGUCUCCUUGGGACUUAUACUGUCCCCAUUACCAUUGUACUGGUGCAUGUGAAUAUAAAGUGAAACUAACUCAUCAGGUUCAGUGUUGUUGUAGCCAUGUUGGUCCUAGGAUAUGAGUCCUCUCCUCAAAGGAAACCUGCAAAGCAUCUUCAAAAGAUGAACCUGGGAAGGUAACUUUGUAACUCUGCUAGACACACAAAAACCAUGGACAUAACAGAAACACUGAUUUUAUGACUCAUAACAAUUUCUAACAUACCUUGCUGCCUACUACCUUCCUUUGUCCUAUGACUGCAGAUGUGUUAAUUUCCCACUUCAUUUUAAGUGGUCUCCUACAAUGCUUGCCAAACCCUUAUGUGUAACAGUUUGUCCCACCUUGUAUUUAACUUGAACAUUCUGGUUACCUUCCCCAGACCUCAGAAAGAUCUCCAUGUAGCUUGAAAGCUUGUCCCUUCCACCAACAGAAGUUGGUCCAAUAAAAGAUACUGCCUCACCCACCUUGUCUUGAUCUAGUUCAGUAAGUCAAGUUGGAAUGUAAUACUGGUGAAAGGUGCUGGAUCAGCAGCCCCAGAGAUUGAAAUCCUCUAUCCACAGGACAGGCAUUGUGAAGCGGCAAGAGAUCUUUCUUUCCCCUUUAUGGGAAUACUUUUUUUCACUCCGUUACUCUCGAUGAUGAAGGGAUGAGAGAACAGAACUGCAUAAGUUUGGGACGACAGCCAGAGUUUGAGAUGAGAUGAUAGCAGCCACAGUGAUGCUGCCUUUGUUACGUGGAAAAACUAAAUUAAAGUGUUGUGAAUUGUAA